rnacentral:lncRNA from 1 species
UUUUUGUACUAAUGCUAUAACAAAUUAAUGGCUUUAUUGUCAAAAUAAGGGGUGAGACUGGAAACAAGUAGAAAAGAAGAAGCUAGAGACAACUCUAAAGGCUUUAAGAUUGCCAAGAAAUCCCGUAGUUAUUGUCAAGAACAAAAUGAAGUAACGAAAGGAUAAUACUAUUAUACUAGACAUAUAGAAAAAUGAUUAUCUAAGAUAGAAAAUAGAAAGUAAUCACCCUUACUUUUUAUACUAGUAAUAUAGUAUUAGUCUCUUAAUUCUUGAUAUUCUUGAUAAUCUAGAUGUGCGUCAUUUUAGAGUAUUUUAAAGUCUUCUGAUAUACCUUUUCCAACCUACAAUGCCAAAGUGGCGGCUCAUUUAACUAGGGGAAUGGGUUGAAAGAUAGAGAAAGAUAGAGACAAUGAGGUUGAAAUACAAAAGACACUAUCAUUACUCCAAAUUAGUUUCAGUCACCGAUCCAUCAAAAAUGCCUAACAGGACCGUCUCUUGCCAUGCUCUGCANCAAAUAAACAUUACAAGCACUAUAGAAAACAAUAAAACAAAUAUAAAUUGAGAAUUACAAAUACCUAAUCGACAGUAGAAAAGGUAUAGUGAAAAAGGUACAAAUACCUAAAUCAAGUGGAGAGGAAGGGUCAUGUACAGUUGGUGUUGGUGGAAGUAAAAGCCGCCACCGUGACCUAGAGAAGAAGACAUGUCUGUUAACGGGGAGAACCAGCGAUGGCCAUGGGGUUCGCGCUCGAGAGGAGGAAGAGCAUGGCGACGAUGGCGGCGAUUCCGACUUCGACCAACCAUCUUGGGGUUUGGGUUCAUUCUUCGGUUGGCGUGUUGAGGGAAUGAGAAGAGAAUCGUGCACAUUUGUUUCUCAUCGGCGACGCCUCAGGUAGGGAUUGGUGUUACUAUCGACGAUGUUAACCAAUCGUGGAAGGUCCAAGAAUGGGGAAAAGGUGGGGUUUCGCGGGUUGGGAGAAAUGAGAAGAAAGGUAGUUCGCGACAUUGAUUAAUGUCGGUGACAUUACGGUAGUGACCGAUGCCGGAGGUGACUUUAGUCAGCUGGGAAAGGUGCGGUGAUGCCAAGGAAGCUGAUGACGACAAGGGUUUAGAAGAAGGAAAAAAGGUCUUUGUCAUUUUUUGAAAGAGAGGAGGGAAGAAGGGUCUUGGUCAUUUUCGAAAGAGUGAAAC